UACGAAGGGGGCUAGCGUUGUUCGGAAUUACUGGGCGUAAAGCGCACGUAGGCGGACUAUUAAGUCAGGGGUGAAAUCCCGGAGCUCAACUCCGGAACUGCCUUUGAUACUGGUAGUCUAGAGACCGAGAGAGGUAAGUGGAACUCCUAGUGUAGAGGUGGAAUUCGUAGAUGUUAGGAAGAACACCAGUGGCGAGGGCGGCUUACUGGCUCGGAAUGGACGCUGAGGGGCGAAAGCGUGGGGAGCAAACAGG
rnacentral:misc_RNA from 1 species